GGAAAAGAAACCAACCGGGAUUGCCUUAGUAACGGCGAGUGAAGCGGCAAAAGCUCAAAUUUGAAAUCUGGUACCUUCGGUGCCCGAGUUGUAAUUUGGAGAGGGCAACUUUGGGGCCGUUCCUUGUCUAUGUUCCUUGGAACAGGACGUCAUAGAGGGUGAGAAUCCCGUGUGGCGAGGAGUGCGGUUCUUUGUAAAGUGCCUUCGAAGAGUCGAGUUGUUUGGGAAUGCAGCUCUAAGUGGGUGGUAAAUUCCAUCUAAAGCUAAAUAUUGGCGAGAGACCGAUAGCGAACAAGUACAGUGAUGGAAAGAUGAAAAGAACUUUGAAAAGAGAGUGAAAAAGUACGUGAAAUUGUUGAAAGGGAAGGGCAUUUGAUCAGACAUGGUGUUUUGUGCCCUCUGCUCCUUGUGGGUAGGGGAAUCUCGCAUUUCACUGGGCCAGCAUCAGUUUUGGUGGCAGGAUAAAUCCAUAGGAAUGUAGCUUGCCUCGGUAAGUAUUAUAGCCUGUGGGAAUACUGCCAGCUGGGACUGAGGACUGCGACGUAAGUCAAGGAUGCUGGCAUAAUGGUUAUAUGCCGCCCGUC
rnacentral:rRNA from 1 species